GGCGGGCGUGCGUCGGCAUGUCGCGGGUGGCGUUGUCGGCGCCGCCCCGCUCGUGGUGGAUCGGCGUCCACUGGCCGUCG
rnacentral:tRNA from 1 species